rnacentral:rRNA from 1 species
ACGAACUGCGCGAACGUUAUUCGGAAUCACUGGGCUUAAAGGGUGCGUAGGCGGCGUGUUAAGUAGGGUGUGAAAUCUGUCGGCUCAACCGGCAGACUGCAUUCUAAACUGGCAUGCUUGAGAGAGUCAGGGGUGUGCGGAACUUCCAGUGGAGCGGUGAAAUGUGUUGAUAUUGGAAGGAACGCCGGUGGCGAAAGCGGCACACUGGGGCUUUUCUGACGCUGAGGCACGAAAGCCAGGGGAGCAAACAGG